rnacentral:rRNA from 1 species
AGUGAACGCUGGCGGUAGGCCUAACACAUGCAAGUCGAACGGCAGCACAGUAAGAGCUUGCUCUUACGGGUGGCGAGUGGCGGACGGGUGAGGAAUACAUCGGAAUCUACUUUUUCGUGGGGGAUAACGUAGGGAAACUUACGCUACUACCGCAUACGACCUACGGGUGAAAGCAGGGGAUCUUCGGACCUUGCGCGAUUGAUUGAGCCGAUGUCGGAUUAGCUAGUUGGCGGGGUAAAGGCCCACCAAGGCGACGAUACGUAGCUGGUCUGAGAGGAUGAUCAGCCACACUGGAACUGAGACACGGUCCAGACUCCUACGGGAGGCAGCAGUGGGGAAUAUUGGACAAUGGGCGCAAGCCUGAUCCAGCCAUACCGCGUGAGUGAAGAAGGCCUUCGGGUUGUAAAGCCCUUUUGUUGGGAAAGAAAAGCAGCAGGUUAAUACCCCGCUGUUCUGACGGUACCCAAAGAAUAAGCACCGGCUAACUUCGUG